AGAAAUCUCCCGCCCCAUCCGUAGAUGGUUUUAAACAGAGGCGGGACGCUUUUUCUGUACUCGGUGUAAUUUCAUCUGAAACAUCAAUUUAUUGCACAGGUUCGCCGCCAGCAUGGUGAGGACUAAGGCCGACAGCGUUCCUGCAUCAUACAGAAAAGCUGUUGCAGCUUCUGCACCUCGAAAGUCGCUGGGCUCCAGUUCGGCGAACGUGUCAUCACCAUCCAGCAGCAACUCGUCCACUCUGGCAAAGAACAAAUAUGCGGGUGGAAACCCUGUGUGUCCCCGGCCCACCCCUACCUGGCAGAAAGGCAUUGGGGACUUCUUCGGCGGGCCUCCCAGAAAGUUUGAGAAGGAGAACCAGAACCCCACAGAGUCGGAUGAGGAGGAGGCCGGCGGCAGCGGGAUGUCAAAGGCCAGCAGGAACCUUGACCUGCAUCGUUUUGGCACGCUCUGCAUCUCUGCCAACUCCUACAAAUGAUUUUCCGAAGAAUCUUUCUCAUCAAGUGAAAUUAUCCAAGUUACACUGAGAGGCGGCUGAGAAAAGAGGCAUUUAUUUGUCAUUUAUCUGUCUGUAAAAGGUCCAAGCCUCUGCCCGCUGAGGAUGAGGAGGAAGACGACUGAGCCUGUCCGCAGUCUCGAUACAGGAGGGACUUUUAAUGUACAUCUGUAUAUAUUUUCUACUGAAUUCUGUUGUAAAGUUCAUUAAACGUGACUUUAUUUUUUAAGCCAUGCAGAGAGGCAGGAAUGUUUCAGUGAUCGGUGCAUCAUUUUCUGUCCAGCUAUUUUUUUUUUAUUAAAGAUUAACCAUUAACUGUAUGUUUUAAUACUUUUUACUCAAUUCUUUACUUCUGUCACAUGCUGAAUAACAACUUGUGGAUCAAAUCCUAACUGACCCAUUUGUGUCUUCUCUGUGCUAUCUUUUGUUUCUUCCCCUGCUUUUUGAGAACUUACCUCAGUGUGGUGCUGAUCCAAAAAUGUAAUCUUCUGAAUUUUGAGCUACCUUAUCACUAGACUUGUACGGAGUGCUUCAUCAUUUAAAAAAAAAAAAAAACAGAUAAUUAAACUCCCUUGGUUGUUUUAAGAACUGGGCUUAUUGUAGCUCUCAGCCUUUCUUCUCCAGAACUUUGCACCAGGUGUCUCCCUGUGCUUCAUGCAGACCUCCAGUCUGUCCUUCACAGUUGUUUAGGACAGAAGUGGUUUUCUUGCUUUCCUUUUUGGAUAACCUGAGAAGUCAGGUUGCUGGUGGUUUAAAAAAAAAAAAAAAAAAGACACUGGCUGAUGUUCCUUCAUUUUUGUCCUUUUAAAGCUUUUUGUCAUAAACAUCUGCAAUAAACUGCUCAUUUAAAAUGA